CUAUUGCAUUUAUUUUUAUUCAACUAUUCCUGAGAUUGACAAUAUGUGAUUAUAAGUGGCAUUUUCUAGAAACUAGAGGGUUAACAAAAAAAGAUGUACGUGUCGAUGUUGUAUGAGUUAAUGUUCAAAAAUUGAUCGCUGAAUCCGAGAACUAUUUUCUGCACUCGUCAAAAGCAGGGUAUUCUAGAUGCCUCCCAAUACGCCAAGAUAGUUCAGCACUUGAGCGUCGCAUUGUGUAAGGAGGCUCUCGCUCAUCACGAGAGAAUUAUAAGAAAGUUACAUUGUAAAAGGUAACAAGUAAAAAAGUAUAAACA